UCCAACUCCUGACCUCAUGAUCCCCCCGCCUCAGCCUCCCAAAGUGCUGGGAUUACAAGCGUGAGCCACCGCGACCCGCCAACACUCUUGACAACAGUGCUGUGCUAAGAACUUGGGGGACUUCAAAAAGUUCACCAGUUCCUGUGUCCAUGGGUGAAAAGAUUUUCUACAUCUUUCCUUGACUAGAAACAGAAGUCCUGAAACAAGGUACACCUUCUUGAGGCUUACUUGAAUAUAACGUCAGGAGGCCAGAGGCUUUGUCCUGCCUAAUGUGUUAUUUCCACACUGAAUAAAAGCACCUGAGUCCUGCAUUUUAAAAAGGUUGUACAUCUAGCAAUACCUAACAAAAUAGGAAAUCAACUUGGAAAGCCAAUGGCUGUGUUUUGAGUUUAUGGAGAGCCAUAUGUGGCAAGGAACUGAGGGUGGCAUCCAGGCAACAGACUUCAAGAAACUGAGGCUGUCAGUCCAACAACCCACAAGAACUGAAUCUGACCAACAAUCACAGGAACAAACUUAGAAGUAUACUCUUUCCCAGACAAACCUUCAGAUGAGACCACAGCCCCAGCCAUAAGCUUGAAAACAAUCUCAUGAGGGACCUUGAGCCACAGGCAUGUAGUAAAGCUAUGCCAGGAAUCCUGCCUGCCCCACAGAAAAUGUAAAAAAAAUAAAUUUUUAUUG
rnacentral:lncRNA from 1 species